rnacentral:rRNA from 1 species
AUCGGGGGGGGCCAAGUCGCCGCGCUAACCGCAAGGAGGCAGCCGSCCACGGUAGGGUCARYGACUGGGGUGAAGUCGUAACAAGGUAGCCGUAGGUGAACCUGCAGAAGGAUCA